GAGGAAAAGAAACCAACAGGGAUUGCCUCAGUAACGGCGAGUGAAGCGGCAACAGCUCAAAUUUGAAAUCUGGCCCUAGGCCCGAGUUGUAAUUUGCAGAGGAUGCUUUUGGUGCGGUGCCUUCCAAGUUCCCUAGAACGGGACGCCAGAGAGGGUGAGAGCCCCGUACAGUUGGACACCAAGCCUUUGUAAAGCUCCUUCGACGAGUCGAGUAGUUUGGGAAUGCUGCUCAAAAUGGGAGGUAUAUUUCUUCUAAAGCUAAAUACCGGCCAGAGACCGAUAGCGCACAAGUAGAGUGAUCGAAAGAUGAAAAGCACUUUGAAAAGAGGGUUAAACAGCACGUGAAAUUGUUAAAAGGGAAGCGCUUGUGACCAGACUUGCGUCCGGUGAAUCACCCAGCUCUCGCGGCUGGGGCACUUCGCCGGCUCAGGCCAGCAUCAGCUCGCUGUCGGGGACAAAAGCUUCAGGAACGUAGCUCUCUUCGGGGAGUGUUAUAGCCUGUUGCACAAUACCCUUCGGCGGGCUGAGGUACGCGCUCCGCAAGGAUGCUGGCAUAAUGGUCAUCAGCGACCCGUC
rnacentral:rRNA from 1 species